rnacentral:rRNA from 1 species
CUGGGAGGACCAUCUCCUAAGGCUAAAUACUCUCUAGUGACCGAUAGUGAACCAGUACCGUGAGGGAAAGGUGAAAAGCACCCCGGAAGGGGAGUGAAAUAGAACCUGAAACCGUGUGCUUACAAGUAGUCAGAGCCCGUUAAUGGGUGAUGGCGUGCCUUUUGUAGAAUGAACCGGCGAGUUACGAUUUGAUGCAAGGUUAAGCAGUAAAUGUGGAGCCGUAGCGAAAGCGAGUCUGAAUAGGGCGUUUAGUAUUUGGUCGUAGACCCGAAACCAGGUGAUCUACCCUUGGUCAGGUUGAAGUUCAGGUAACACUGAAUGGAGGACCGAACCGACUUACGUUGAAAAGUGAGCGGAUGAACUGAGGGUAGCGGAGAAAUUCCAAUCGAACCUGGAGAUAGCUGGUUCUCUCCGAAAUAGCUUUAGGGCUAGCCUCAAGUGAUGAUUAUUGGAGGUAGAGCACUGUUUGGACGAGGGGCCCCUCUCGGGUUACCGAAUUCAGACAAACUCCGAAUGCCAAUUAAUUUAACUUGGGAGUCAGAACAUGGGUGAUAAGGUCCGUGUUCGAAAGGGAAACAGCCCAGACCACCAGCUAAGGUCCCAAAAUAUAUGUUAAGUGGAAAAG